GAUGAAGAACGUAGCGAAAUGCGAUAAGUAAUGUGAAUUGCAGAAUUCAGUGAAUCAUCGAAUCUUUGAACGCACCUUGCACCCUUUGGACUGCUCCAAAGGGUAUGCUCGUUUGAGUGUCAUUGUACUCUCACACUCUCUGAUCCUUUGGAUUUGGGGAGCAGUGGACUUGGGUGCUUGUUGCUUCCUUGUGGCUCACCUGAAAUGCAUCAGUGCAUCUCUCGAUUGGACAUAGUACGGCGUGAUAAGUGUCUUCGCCGGCACCUCAUAUGAGGGUGGCCGAUCGGGAGCUCUGUGCUUUCAAACCGUCUUCGGACAACGCUGACAACUUGACCUCAAAUCGAGUAGGACUACCCGCUGAACUUAAGCAUAUCAAUAAGCGGAGGA
rnacentral:misc_RNA from 1 species